UACGACGUAUCAGAGUUUGAUCCUGGCUCAGGACGAACGCUGGCGGCGUGCCUAACACAUGCAAGUCGAACGGAGCACUUCGGUGCUUAGUGGCGAACGGGUGAGUAACGCGUGAGAAACCCUGCCUCUCAGUGGGGGACAACAGUUGGAAACGACUGCUAAUACCGCAUAACGUAUUCGGAAGGCAUCUUCUGAAUACCAAAGCUUUAUGUGCUGAGAGAUGGUCUCGCGUCUGAUUAGCUAGUUGGCGGGGUAACGGCCCACCAAGGCGACGAUCAGUAGCCGGUCUGAGAGGAUGAACGGCCACAUUGGGACUGAGAUACGGCCCAG
rnacentral:rRNA from 1 species